AGAGCCUUCAGCCAGAGUUCAUCUCUCACUCAACAUUACAGAUUUCACACUGGAGAGAAACCCUACAAAUGUAAUGAGUGUGGAAGGGCCUUUGCUCAUACUGCAUCCCUUAUUAAACAUCAGAGAAGUCAUGCUGGGAAAAAACUCCUAUAAAUUCAGUGAAUAUAGACGGGCUUUCAGCUGGAGUGCAGACAUCACCAGAACUUAAGGAAUUCAUAUCAGAGAGAGAUCCUAAAGGUGUAAUGUAUGUGGGAAGACCACAUCUUUUCCACAUCAGGCAAUAAUUACUAAAGAGAAUCCCUAUCAAUGUCAAGAGGGGGUGGGCUUCCCCUCUCUUACCAAACACGAGAGAAUCCAUACUAGUGAGAAACCACGUGAAUGUAAUGAAUGUGGGAAGGCUUCGAUCAGAGGAUGCAUAUUAUUCAGCAUCAGACAGCCAACACUGGGGAGGAGCCUUAUCAAUGCAGUGAGUGUGGCAAGCCUUCAGUUACAUACUGAUUCUUUAAGAAAAUCAGAUAACUUGUAGUGGAGAGAAAUUCUACUAGUGUGGUCAUUUAUUGAGGAGGCAGCAUUCCCUAAACACCUUACCAGCAGCUUCCAUUUUGGCAUGGAAGAGUGUUCUCAGCAAUGGCCAUUUGUCAUCACUGGGAACCAGAGACACCCAUCCCUACGCCAGCUUGAGCCGUGCACUGCAGACACAAUGCUGUAUUUC
rnacentral:sRNA from 1 species